rnacentral:rRNA from 1 species
CAGUAGCCGCGGUAAUACGGAGGGUGCAAGCGUUAAUCGGAAUUACUGGGCGUAAAGCGUGCGUAGGUGGUGGUUUAAGUCCGUUGUGAAAGCCCUGGGCUCAACCUGGGAAUUGCAGUGGAUACUGGGUCACUAGAGUGUGGUAGAGGAUAGUGGAAUCUCCGGUGUAGCAGUGAAAUGCGUAGAGAUCGGAAGGAACAUCUGUGGCGAAGGCGACUAUCUGGGCCAACACUGACACUGAGGCACGAAAGCGUGGGGAGCAAACAGGAUUAGAUACCCCGGUAGUCCCUGUCUCUUAUAC